CUACGGUCUGCACACGCCCCGCACCCUGCACCGGGCGCUGCCUGCUCCUGCAGGUGGGACACAGCCCGCACAGGUCCGGGCGCAGAGUCACAACCUUUCACCGUUUGGGCUGAGCGCAGAGGGUUUGCGCUCGGCCACCAAGAACAGCGGCAGCCUGAGCCUGAGCCUGGAAGUGUGUGUGCUCCAGAGGGCAGAGCUGUAGAGCUGACCCAAGUGAAGGAGCCCAGAAGACCCUGAAUGAAUCCUAGCCAUUGGUGUUGAGUUAUUUAUACUUUUGGAGUUUGGUUUUGCCUCGAUUUGAUUGUGAGUGUGCCCUGGUUCUUCCCUCUUGCAGUAAGGAAGUACCUAAUUUAUUUUUUGAUUUAUAGGAGUCUCCAGCUGAGAGACUUUGAAUUUUAAAAGACUUUGGAUUGUAAAAGA